rnacentral:rRNA from 1 species
GCAACCCGCCUGCACGAAGCCGGAGUUGCUAGUAAUCGCGAAUCAGAAUGUCGCGGUGAAUGCGUUCCCGGGUCUUGUACACACCGCCCGUCACACCAUGGAAGUUGGGGGUGCCCAAAGCCGGCAAGCAAAUAUGCUGUCUAAGGCAAAACCAAUGACUGGGGUGAAGUCGUAACAAGGUAUC